UUUGUAUGUGUUUUGUUCACUGUGCGUUGGUAAUGGUCGGUAAUCCUAAUAUCCUCGUUCAUCGUGUUGAGGAAUCUAGGGUGUACCAGAAAUGUUACUUUGAAAUUACUAUGGACCAUAACGGACAAACGUGCACAAACAUGACACCGCGUUUGCGAAUUAAUUGGGCCAAUACUGCUGAAUAUGUUGAGGAUGUAAAAAUGGGGCGAAAAUGACGUUGGUAAUAAUUUGCAUACUCAUGAUUCCGGACGUGACAAAACUAUUCAUCGCAAAAGGAAUGGAAUUGCACGCUAGAUCUCAGCGUCUCGGUGAUACGGUUUAUGUUCAAUGGAGAGCCAAUGCAUGUUUGAUUUUAAUCUAACUUGAAUGUUUUUUUUUCCGGUGAUGAGCUGCUCGUCGAAGCUAAGUUGUCAAUUUUAUUUUGGUUUCCGCGUUUCUGUCUGCGAUGUUGAACCCUAAGAUGGAAGAAUUCGGCGGUAUGCUGGUCGAGAGCACUCACAACUUGUGAGACAAAGAGCGAAUUCAACAAAGUUAAACAAAGACAACGGAAACCAUCGUAGCUCCCAUUCAGUUCCGUACAGCAUAUACGGCUAUGGCGACUAUCAGAAAGCUGUUGAUCUAUGGAUACAAUUCGGACCAACAAACUGGUGAGACGAAUGAGCCCCUUGCGGCGGAAGCAUUCAGACAGAACUUCGCAACCAUCAGAACGCACCUAGCGGAGAAGACGUAUGCUGUUAUGUCAAGAAAGACAUACUUUUAGUUUGAGGUACGGACUGUGGGACUGAUGAGGGACUGCAAUUCCGAAACGAUGUUGGGGAACGAUGAUCCAUCGUGUGCUUUUGAUGGCUACAAUAUAAGCAUGAGCACAAAUAUCGAAUCCGAUUGUUCAAUACGACCAAUCACGACCCCUCAAUCCAAUGUAGUCGUUCUGUCCCAAAUUCCUACUGAAGACACAUUUCCACUGCCUCAUUAAAUGGGCAAGUAAACUACACCUGCGCAGGGUCGAAGAUUUCGGUAGGCGAUACCUGGUCGGAAACGUAAUCGUUUUCUUCUUAAAUAUCCUCGACAAGAUCAGCACGAGAGGAAUAAAUACGAACUAAGAGUACUGGGUACUGGUGUCAUCGACUUCCUGCUAAUCAGCGCCCCAUUCUCUAGAGACAGCGAUGCAGUAGAAGGAGUUAUUGCGACGAGAAUUAUUGUUG